AAAUGAUAUGAAGAGCUUCUAGAACCAUCUUGCCAUCACAUCAGUCUGGGAAUGAAGGCAAGCCACAGAGAGAAGCAGAGCUAAUCCAACAGACAUGACAUCAUUUGACCCUCUAAAUCCAGCCAUAACUGAUGCCAGUCCUGCCCAUGUACUUUCAUUUGUUUAUCAAAGCAGCUAUUUCUGAUGGUGGAAAGUUCUUGAUUUGUCAUCACAAUAGCUAAUGCAAUGACUCUUUGGCCUUGGAGAGAGAGGAAAUCCUACACUGUAUGAGGCUGCUGGACUUCAGGGUGGGACCGUGUUAUUCUGAAGAACAAGCCAGUCAAAAUUAGUCAAGGCUUAAUUCAGAGCCAAAACAAAAAUAAGGAUUGCUUGGGAAGAACUUCAUGUGUUCCUAAGAACAGGACAUGUAUUUGAUCAAAUCACAACUAUAUUUCUUAAGCA